rnacentral:rRNA from 1 species
AUCGACCCCGCAAGGGGAGCGGCAGACGGGUGAGUAACGCGUGGGAAUCUACCUUUUGCUACGGAAUAACGCAGGGAAACUUGUGCUAAUACCGUAUGUGUCCUUCGGGAGAAAGAUUUAUCGGCAAGAGAUGAGCCCGCGUUGGAUUAGCUAGUUGGUGGGGUAAAGGCCUACCAAGGCGACAAUCCAUAGCUGGUCUGAGAGGAUGAUCAGCCACAUUGGGACUGAGACACGGCCCAAACUCCUACGGGAGGCACACUGGGGAAUAUUGGACAAUGGGCGCAAGCCUGAUCCAGCCAUGCCGCGUGAGUGAUGAAGGCCCUAGGGUUGUAAAGCUCUUUCACCGGAGAAGAUACGGACGGUAUCCGGACACCAACCCCCGGCUAACUUCGUGCCAGCAGCGGGGCUAAUACAAAUGGGGCCCCUUAUUG